rnacentral:rRNA from 1 species
CCUACGGGGGCAGCAGUAGGGAAUCUUCCACAAUGGACGAAAGUCUGAUGGAGCAACGCCGCGUGAGUGAAGAAGGGUUUCGGCUCGUAAAGCUCUGUUUGUAGUGAAGAAAGAUAGAGGUAGUAACUGGCCUUUAUUUGACGGUAAUUACUUAGAAAGUCACGGCUAACUACGUGCCAGCAGCCGCGGUAAUACGUAGGUGGCAAGCGUUGUCCGGAUUUAUUGGGCGUAAAGCGAGUGCAGGCGGUUCAAUAAGUCUGAUGUGAAAGCCGUUCGCUCCACCGGAGAAAUGCAUCAGAAACUGU